rnacentral:siRNA from 1 species
UCACAAUAAUGGGUGAAUAUAG